rnacentral:lncRNA from 1 species
CUGCUGCCCCAGUGUCUAGUUUAAAUGACACAACCUCCCCAUUGAGUUUAAUGUCUGAAUGCCAGCUAGCCUUGUUUUCCCUUACUUCUCCCAGAAAGAUGCUGUCCUGCUGUGCCUCCUCUGAGACCUCAUGCAUUUGCGUUAAUCGACAGACAGCUGAAAAGUGUCCUCUCCUGUGACAUUUCCUGCAUUCCGCAUCCUUUGCUGGGCAAUCUUUCCAUCUGUUGAAAUGGGAUUUCCCACAUUUGCGACAAACACUUGAACUAGCUACUGGUGCUGUCUGUGAUUGUUUUCUCCACGUCUGUCUCCGUUCCGUGUUCCCCUCCGUUUUUUUUUAGCUCGGUAUGAAAAUGCAUUUAUUUCCUCACUCUCUUUGCUCUGCAAGGAGCUGCUGUCUUUUUACUGCCUCACUCGGCCUAACCUGGUUUACAGCUUUGGACAAGGAGCAUGCUAUUCCCGUCAGUGGCGUAUGCUUGAGCUUGCUGAGUGAUCCCGACGUGGGCAUCAUCACAGUGAGUGGUAUGAAUCUCAC